AGUGUUGACGGAGCAAGGCAGGCUCCCUCCUCUGAGCCCGGCGCCCCUUUCCGGAACGCUUCUUCGGGCCUGCUACGGGGUUCUUAGGCCACUCAGCCAGAAGGGGGCGGCAGCCAAAUAGGCUGUUGGCGGAGCAGUGCGGCGCCUUGCAGCCUCAGCACCCAAUCCAGCCCGGGCCCCGGCAUGGGUCCUGACCCUCUAAAGUCCUUCUUCCUCCCUAGAACCUAGCACCUGGCUGGGAAUCUUUCUCUCCAAGCUGUGCCUGACGGAGGGCUGCUUAGCGAACUACGCGAAAGAGUGUCCUGCACUGCUUCUCCCUAGGUAGACGCUCUAGCCCCACCCGCUCCCGAGUUCCAGCGGAAGGAAGCUUCUCGAGCUUGAGGUUUGCUUCCCCCCAUCUCUUGAGCAAUACAGGAAGCAGCUGCCGCGGCCGGGGAGCUCAACGGCCUUCUAAUGGCCAAGUGCAGGGAGGCUUCAGACUGAGGUCUACCAUAAAUGAUUGCUACAGCCUCCACCCUGUUGACACAUAAAAGAGACCACUCGGGCAAACAUACAGGACUCCUCCAGCUCUUUCUUCCUAGCCUGGGACAUGGAGGAGGAAGGUGGUUUUCCUGAAAGCUGAAAAAGAGCCCAUCCAUUUGGGGCCUGUUAUUCCUUCUGGGACCCCAAAAUACCUCCACUAAGACUCUUCAAGAUCAGCUACCUGAAUUCUCAAGAGUUUGGAUUUGGUUUGGACUCACUCUGGCCAGAGCCAUCCAGAUCUUUCCCUGAAAUUUCUCUCUCUCCUUGACCUGUUCCUGGACUCCUGAAGUAAAAGCAAAACUAUUUCAACCAUUGGGGAAAUAUCAAAACUUUUAGCUGCUUUAGAACUGGAAGUUGUAAUACUUAUGACUGGAGAUGACAGUACAGUAAUUUGUUUCCAGUUUUUCUUUCCUUCUAAUGUAUUUAGAUGCUGUUCAAGCAUCUCAAUAAGAAUACUGGAGCUGUAGAUGAUCAGUUAGAUUACCAUUAUCAUUACCAACUUGCUCUGCAACUCUAAUAUUCAUGUCAUUCUAAAUAGAAUCAUUUGUAAAUUUCUGGGACAUUUUUGCAUUGCCCCUUCUUCAUUUCACAAUGUAGGAAAAAGUUUUUCUGUGUGUAUCAGAUUAGCUAAAAUGAUAAAAAGGCAAAAUGGCAGAUAUUGGAGGGAAGUAAAAAAUGGAGAUACUAAUACACUGUUGGUGAAAAUGUGAAGUGAUCCAAUUAUUUUGGAGAGCAAGCUGAAAUUUUUCCCAAAGAGUUAUGAAGCUAUGACCCAGAAAUACUAUUAUUAAGUUUGUUUCACAGAGAGAUCAGAGGAAAAGAGGAAAAAAACCCUACAUAUUUUGAAAUAUUUGUAGCAGCUCUCUUUAUGAUGGCAAAGAACUGGAAAUUAAGGGAAUGCUCAUUAAUUGGGGAAUAGUGAAACAAGUUGAGGUAUAUAAUUGUAAUGGAGUACUAAUGUGUUAUAAGAAAUGUCAAACAGGUUAAUUUUUUUAGAAAAACAAAGACAUGAAAUUAUGAAGAAUAAUGUAAGCAGAACAAAGAGAACAUUAUAUGUAGCAACAGAAAUGUUGUUUGAAGAACUACUCAUUUAUGUCCUCCUCCAGAGAAAGAAUUGAUAGAAAUAAGCAAGUCAUAGUUUUAUAAAUACAUAUGUCUUUUUGUCAUGUGCUACUUUUCUAAUGCAAGAAGGAAAGGGAGAUACAUCAAGAUUUUAAUGUAACAAAUAAAUACAUUUUAAAAUUAACAAAAAGUUUUCUG